rnacentral:rRNA from 1 species
GACGAACGCUGGCGGCGUGCUUAACACAUGCAAGUCGAACGGUGAAGGGACUGGUUUUGCUGGUCCUGGAUGAGUGGCGAACGGGUGAGUAACACGUGAGUAACCUGCCCCCUUCUUCUGGAUAACCGCAUGAAAGUGUGGCUAAUACGGGAUAUUCUGGGUCUGUCGCAUGGUGGGCCUGGGAAAGAUUGCGCCUUUUUUGGUGGUUUUGGUGGGGGAUGGGCUCGCGGCCUAUCAGCUUGUUGGUGGGGUGAUGGCCUAUCAAGGCGGUGACGGGUAGCCGGCCUGAGAGGGUGGACGGUCACACUGGGACUGAGACACGGCCCAGACUCCGACGGGAGGCAGCAGUGGGGAAUAUGGCACGAUGGGCGCAAGCCUGAUGCAGCGACGCCGCGUGAGGGAUGGAGGCCUUCGGGUUGUGAACCUCUUUCGCCAGUGAAGCAGGCCUGCCUCUUUGUGUGGGUGGGUUGACGGUAGCUGGAUAAGAAGCGCCGGCUAACUACGUG